ACGGAGGGUGCAAGCGUUAUCCGGAUUUAUUGGGUUUAAAGGGUCCGUAGGCGGACGAUUAAGUCAGUGGUGAAAUCCAACAGCUCAACUGUUGAACUGCCAUUGAUACUGAUCGUCUUGAGUAUGUUAGAUGUUGGCGGAAUAGGUCAUGUAGCGGUGAAAUGCUUAGAUAUGACCUAGAACACCGAUUGCGAAGGCAGCCAACAAUGCCAUUACUGACGCUGAGGGACGAAAGCGUGGGGAGCGAACAGG
rnacentral:rRNA from 1 species